UACGGGGGGGGCAAGCGUUGUUCGGAUUUACUGGGCGUAAAGGGCGCGUAGGCGGCCAGCACAAGUCAGUUGUGAAAUCUCCGAGCUUAACUCGGAAAGGUCAACUGAUACUGUGCGGCUAGAGUGCGGAAGGGGCAACUGGAAUUCUUGGUGUAGCGGUGAAAUGCGUAGAUAUCAAGAGGAACACCUGCGGCGAAGGCGGGUUGCUGGGCCGACACUGACGCUGAUGCGCGAAAGCCAGGGGAGCGAACGGG
rnacentral:rRNA from 1 species